CUGAAAAGUGGGAAUAAUAGGAAGACUCUCUUCAUCGCAGGCUUGUUGUGAGGACGAGAUAGUCCUAAGUCACAACAACUGUUAGCUGCUAUUCUUCCUGCUUCCAGCCUGGCCCCCUGAGGAGGGCUCCAUCUAACACCUGCCGGCCACGCCCCUCUCCCCGCCCCCAAAUCACUGCUUCAGAGAAGAGAGCAAAAGAGACAGGUUGCCCGGGAGAGCCCUUUCAUGGGGCGUGGCUCUGCCCCUAGGUCCCCAGGAGUGAUCAUAAUUUGACGUGUCACAGAGGCAGCAGCUUUAAAAGGGCAAGAACUGGACAUUCCUUCAGCAAUGGGGAUUGUUCUGUCACAUCGUGCUGCUUAAGUCUGGGAGCCAGGGUGGGAGGUACUGGGUUACAAGAAGGGAACAGGUGUGAGGGGUGACAACAUACUCAUUCAGCUUUGGACUCGUGCCUGUGGGGGUCCUGUAGGAGAUCUUGCGGACCUGUGCAGUGGGCCGUCGGAAAGGCAAGCCUGACCCUUUCAAGAGAGGUCAGGCCUGGAGACCAAGGGUGAGGCCCCUCCAUAAAGAGAAGGUGGUUGAAGCCCAUGGAUUAGAUGCUUGUGAAGAGCACAGAGUGGGAAGAGAAAGGACCAGUGACAGAACCAUGAGAAGCACAAUAGAGGGCGGGGAGAGGCAGACCUGACAUGGGGCAGACUCAAAUCCCGCCCUCAUGGACCUUACAGAGCUGCCACAAGCAUUCGUAAUUCUUAUCUAAGUAGACAGGGUCAAGUUACUAAGAGAGGACCAAGGACCUCAUUUCCAGGAGUGAGGCCAGGAAGACUCCAUGAAGGAGGGUGUUUUAACCAGGCUUUGGACCAAGCGCGGGAUGAGGACUGGCAAAAGAUGGUUAGACACACAAAGGCACUGAAAGAGAACACAGGGCUGAUUCCUUGACCUUUUGCAGUUCAUAGUCUAAUGAGGAAUACGAAUAAUUACAAAGAUAAAGAAGCUGAGGCCUUUCCAGUAGAAGAGGGACAUUUACAGUCAUGGAUCUCAAGAAGGCCUUCAAGAUUUUGCAGAAUCAACGUAAUAGGCAUCCGUGGGCAUUGAUGCUACACAGAAGACUUGGCUCUCGUCCUUCUCUGGGAAGAACAGAAUGCCUCAAUUCCUUCUGAUCAUCUUGCUGAUCUCUUUCAUGUGGGAACAUCUCAUGAACCCCAAACCAGGGUCUCCGCUCACACCAACUUCUGCAUGCUCACACCCAGGGAUCCCUGGCCCAGCAGUCCUGCAAAGGGCAAACCCUGGAAUUGCCUUUUGGACAACCUAGAAAGCUGCUACAUUGUCAGUGAGAGAUUCCCUUAAAUGUAGAGAGAUUCUUGAGCUGAAGUUUAAGAAGCAGAGAAGAAACAUUUUUAUUGACUU
rnacentral:lncRNA from 1 species